rnacentral:rRNA from 1 species
AGAGUUUGAUCCUGGCUCAGAUUGAACGCUGGCGGCAUGCUUUACACAUGCAAGUCGAACGGCAGCGCGGGGCAACCUGGCGGCGAGUGGCGAACGGGUGAGUAAUAUAUCGGAACGUACCCAAGAGUGGGGGAUAACGUAGCGAAAGUUACGCUAAUACCGCAUACGAUCCAAGGAUGAAAGCAGGGGAUCUUCGGACCUUGUGCUCCUGGAGCGGCCGAUAUCUGAUUAGCUAGUUGGUGAGGUAAAGGCUCACCAAGGCCACGAUCAGUAGCUGGUCUGAGAGGACGACCAGCCACACUGGAACUGAGACACGGUCCAGACUCCUACGGGAGGCAGCAGUGGGGAAUUUUGGACAAUGGGCGAAAGCCUGAUCCAGCAAUGCCGCGUGAGUGAAGAAGGCCUUCGGGUUGUAAAGCUCUUUUGUCAGGGAAGAAACGGUGAGGGCUAAUAUCCCUCGCUAAUGACGGUACCUGAAGAAUAAGCACCGGCUAACUACGUGCCAGCAGCCGCGGUAAUACGUAGGGUGCAAGCGUUAAUCGGAAUUACUGGGCGUAAAGCGUGCGCAGGCGGUUUUGUAAGUCUGACGUGAAAUCCCCGGGCUCAACCUGGGAAUUGCGUUGGAGACUGCAAGGCUAGAAUCUGGCAGAGGGGGGUAGAAUUCCACGUGUAGCAGUGAAAUGCGUAGAGAUGUGGAGGAACACCGAUGGCGAAGGCAGCCCCCUGGGUCAAGAUUGACGCUCAUGCACGAAAGCGUGGGGAGCAAACAGGAUUAGAUACCCUGGUAGUCCACGCCCUAAACGAUGUCUACUAGUUGUCGGGUUUUAAUUAACUUGGUAACGCAGCUAACGCGUGAAGUAGACCGCCUGGGGAGUACGGCCGCAAGGUUAAAACUCAAAUGAAUUGACGGGGGCCCGCACAAGCGGUGGAGCAUGUGGUUUAAUUCGAUGCAACGCGAAGAACCUUACCUGGUCUUGACAUAUCUAGAAUCCUGCAGAGAUGCGGGAGUGCCUUCGGGAAUUAGAAUACAGGUGCUGCAUGGCUGUCGUCAGCUCGUGUCGUGAGAUGUUGGGUUAAGUCCCGCAACGAGCGCAACCCUUGUCCUUAGUUACCAGCGGGUUAAGCCGGGAACUCUAAGGAUACUGCCAGUGACAAACUGGAGGAAGGCGGGGACGACGUCAAGUCAUCAUGGCCCUUACGACCAGGGCUACACACGUGCUACAAUGGUAGGUACAGAGGGCAGCUACACAGCGAUGUGAUGCGAAUCUCAAAAAGCCUAUCGUAGUCCAGAUUGGAGUCUGCAACUCGACUCCAUGAAGUAGGAAUCGCUAGUAAUCGCGGAUCAGAAUGCCGCGGUGAAUACGUUCCCGGGCCUUGUACACACCGCCCGUCACACCAUGGGAGUUGAUUGCACCAGAAGUGGAUAGCUUAACCUUCGGGGGAGCGUUCACCACGGUGUGGUUGAUGACUGGGGUGAAGUCGUAACAAGGUAACCGUAA